UUUUUUUUUUUUUUUUUUUUUAAUAAACUCUCUAUUGGUGCAAUUGAAAAUGGGCUAGAAAGUGGGAAUACUAGUGACAGGGAUACUAGUCAAAUUUUGACUCAGGAAUAUAUCCAUUGGCUCUCUGGCUAGUCGGCAUCAAGAGAAGUUAGUUUGAUGGUUAUUCUGGUCUCUGAUCAGGUGGGAAUCCCUCCACUAUUGUUUUGAGAAGCAAUAGCCUACCUACCAUCUCUGCAACUCUUUGGUGUCCAUAGUAUGGAAAUAAUAUUACAUAGUAAGAAAAAUGCAAGCACUGGAGUCAGACUAAGAUUUGAAUUCCAUCUGUACCACUGGUAGUUUUGUGAGUUUUGACACCCUCUCUAAGCUGAAGAUCCCUAGCCUGUAUGAUAGUGAUAAUAAUACCUCACGGAGCUACUGUGAGGACUAAAUUGACAUCUGUAAAGCAUCUAGCAAUAGGGUUGCCAUCUUUACAAAUUCCUUGUAGGGCACCAGAAUUUAAGAUAAUCCUUGCUGAGUGUCUUGCCCCUAUGGUAUAUUUUUAGAACGGCCGAGUGUUCUUUCUUAAACGUAAAUCCAAGCAUUUACACGACUGAAGACCCUAUAUAUGUGACCUUUGUCACCUGUUGUGUCUGACUCUUUUUUUUUUUUCCUUUGUCACCUGUUUAAUCUUAUUUACCUGCUUACUCUUGAACCUCAGUUAUUCUGGCUUCCCUUCUUUCGCAGUGCCUUGUUUAUAAGGUUGACCAUGAGAUCAGUCACCUAUCACUAUAGGACUACCUUUUAAUGGAUACCACCUUAAAAUGGGUCCUUUUAUUUAUUUUCGUUUUAAAGUUUUUGUGAGUUAAAAAAUAAAUAAAUAAAGUUUUUGUGAAAGAAAAUUUUAAACAUGGGACGCCUGGGUGGCUCAGUGGUUGAGGAUCUGCCUCCUGCUCGGAGCGUGAUCCUGGAGUCCUUGGAUUGAGUCCCCCAUCAGGCUCCCUGUGGGGAGCCUGCUUCUCUCUCUGCCUGUGUCUCUGCCUCUCUGUGUGUGUCUCUCAUGAAUAAAUAAAUAAAAUCUUUUUUAAAAAUUUUUAAAAAGAAAAAUUUAGGGAUCCCUGGGUGGCGCAAGCUAAACCGCUGGGCCACCCGGGCUGCCCACUGCUGGGUUUUAAUCUCAGCUUUACCAGUUGUGUUACCUGAGGCAAAGGACUCCCUCCCCCGACCCCAAGGGCAGACAGGCAGUUGGGGGAGAUAAGAGGAAAGUGGAAAAGGUAUAGUGACUUGCUUCUCCAGUGCUUCUGGGCAUGCCUAAAAAGUCAAGGGCCCAGAUCCUCCCUUGAGUAGUCCCUCUUGGAGAGGCUUGUAUUUUCUCCUAAAUCUUGCUUUUUCAGGAAAUAUACAUCAGGAUCUCAUACCAUUCUUUAGAAGUGAGCCAAGGCCUAAAUGAUGAUGAGAAGCUCUUCCUGUAAUUCUCUUAUUGAGAAAGCCUUCUUUUAUUGCUCUUUUCCAAGAUUGGUUUAUCUUUUCUGUUAAUUAGCACAGAUACCAUUCUGACUUUGAAUUUCAUAGUAUUUUAAAACUGUAAUUUUUCUUAGUAUUAUGAAGAUGACAGUGAUUUACAGUGGCCUGUGUUUUUAUCUGCUUUGCUGUCUUACGGUCUGGUGCCUUAAAGACAUUUUUAAUUUGCUAUUCGUAUCUGUUUUAAAAAGAAAAAAAGUGAAACCAUGCAGUGUCUGAAAAUUAGAGUCUAUUCAAGACCUUGCACAUGGCUGCCAGUCUUCCCCAUUCCAAGACCUUGCCACUUCAUUCACA
rnacentral:lncRNA from 1 species